rnacentral:rRNA from 1 species
GACGAACGCUGGCGGCGGGCUUAACACAUGCAAGUCGAACGGAAAGGCCCUGCUUUUGUGGGGUGCUCGAGUGGCGAACGGGUGAGUAACACGUGAGUAACCUGCCCUGGACUUUGGGAUAACUUCAGGAAACUUGGGCUAAUACCGGAUAGGAGCUCCUGCUGCAUGGUGGGGGUUGGAAAGUUUCGGCGGUUGGGGAUGGACUCGCGGCUUAUCAGCUUGUUGAUGGGGUAGUGGCUUACCAAGGCUUUGACGGGUAGCCGGCCUGAGAGGGUGACCGGCCACAUUGGGACUGAGAUACGGCCCAGACUACUACGGGAGGCAGCAGUGGGGAAUAUUGCACUAUGGGCGGAAGCCUGAUGCAGCACCGCCGCGUGCGGGAUGACGGCCUUCGGGUUGUAAACCGCUUUCGCCUGUGACGAAGCGUGAGUGACGGUAAUGGGUAAAGAAGCACCGGCUAACUACGUG